AGGGACCGUUCAGCUGCUCAAAG
rnacentral:piRNA from 1 species